AAUCUGGAAUCUGAAAUCGUCCU
rnacentral:snRNA from 1 species